rnacentral:lncRNA from 1 species
AAAAUGCAAACCAGAAACUAAAUGACAGAGUGGUUUGCAAGGCUCAAUCCUGCCAUAUAUGACAACGUGGAUGAACCUGGAGGACUUUCUGAUGGGUGAAAUAAACCAGUCCCAGAAGGACAAAUACUGCAUGAUUCCACUUAUAAGAGACCCUGCGAUGUAAUAUUAAAAAGAUUCCUGAGCUCCAGCACAGAACAGGUUACAUCGUGCUUCCUCUCCCACACGAUCGAGAUCUUCAAAGUAAGCAUCUUUCAAAGGAGCGACAAGCAAAAUACAGCAGCAGGAUCAGUAACUCCCUGUGAAGCAGCUUUGCCUGCUGUCAUUGUUGACUGCUGGAGGUGCUGAUCCAUGUCAGUCACUAAAACGACACCUUGGCAAGACGGCAGUCUG